GCCUAACACAUGCAAGUCGAGCGGUAGCACAAGAGAGCUUGCUCUCUGGGUGACGAGCGGCGGACGGGUGAGUAAUGUCUGGGAAACUGCCUGAUGGCGGGGGAUAACUAGUGGAAACGGUAGCUAAUACCGCAUAACGUCGCAAGACCAAAGUGGGGGACCUUCGGGCCUCACGCCAUCAGAUGUGCCCAGGUGGGAUUAGCUGGUAGGUGGGGUAACGGCUCACCUAGGCGACGAUCCCUAGCUGGUCUGAGAGGAUGACCAGCCACACUGGAACUGAGACACGGUCCAGACUCCUACGGGAGGCAGCAGUGGGGAAU
rnacentral:rRNA from 1 species